UGUACUUUUUUAGACCAAUGCCUGGUCGUAUAAUCCGCUAGGGUUAUGGCGAGUGUGUAUAUGGUGAUUUUAUAAUUACGCAAGAUGGCGUUGAUAACCGGUUUGUCAGUGGCGAUAAUGGGUAAGACUGUACACCGAACUUCCCUCUUUCAUAUAUCGACGAACCAAGGCUCGAUCGAAGACGAAAAACCUUUCGUGAACAAUUUACCAGUUUUUGGUCGAAGGUACGGACCAACUACCGUGCCUAAAAAUUUAGAACUUCUGUGGAAUCCCUGUGUAGUAUGGGUUUGGGUUAAUCGAACACGAACCGUUAUAACUGCAACGAUCAUCUACCGCUUGGGUGCCCCUACUCCGCUGAAAAACAUACGACCCCGAACCGUUGAUGUGAAGAAAAAACGAAAUGGCGUCUUGGAAUUAUAUAUAUUUUGACCACGAUACCGAAUCGCAUUGGUGCGCUAUAUGCGACUGCUAUAUGAGCAGCGAAAUAUCCUCUAAUGAACAUGUCGACGGAGCUCGACACGGCCGAGCUGUCAAACGUUACGGCACGUCAAUCAUUUCCCAUGGGAGCAGUAAAUAUUACUGCGAAUCAUGCGACUGUUGGAUACAGUCAACAACGAAUAUUCUUCAACACGUCAAAGGUCAACGUCAUCAAGAUGCCUUGGAAGCCACUGACUCCGAGGACGAAGAAGAUCUCGAUCCUUACGAAUUCAUCAUCGAUGAGGGCAACGAAAAUAAAUAUUGUUAUCUUUGCAACGUGAACAUCUCCGGCGAAGCAAUGUUUCAUUUUCAUGCUCGAAAUCAACAACACAAAGAAGCCAUUGAAAGAUAUGGCUAUGACAUAAUCGAAUCGAAGUACAGCUGGUACGAAUGCGAGUUGUGUGAAUGUAAAAUCAGCGGAUAUCAAAAUAUAUAUCAACACAUUACGGGUCGUACGCACACCGAAAAUCUCGAGGACUACUCUGACUCUGACUGAUUUGUUUCUACGAAAUCAAUGACAUUUUCACUUCUUUUAAACAUACAUUUAUGAUAAAAUUAUUUUAUCUUUCGCGUGUAGAACUUGGUUUGUUCCAUGGCGAAAACAAAACAAAAACAAUUGCACAGUUUUAUCAUUAUUCGAUAUAGGUUUUAGAUUUUUAAUUUUCAUCCUGAGGAUUUAUUUGAUCGCACGUCUUUUUAGUGUACGUUAUUUGUGAGGUUAAGAUUCCCUCGAUAAUAAGAAUUUAAAACAAGGAUGCAAAAAAGGCAAUUGUACGGAUUCUCAUAAGCUGUGUGCAACCUGUGGCGUUAUUUUCAUUACUGACCUUUACAAAUACAAACUUUGUUCUCCUUUUUACGAGGAAUCGAAACUUAUUAAAAUAUUAUGGAAUGUUUUCAUUCAGAGACGUUGCUGGAGUAGCUUGAUAAGUGCCAUAUGUUUGAAUAGUUUAAUUCUAUACCUACUUUUUGUUUCAAGAUAAAGUAAAUAGUGUCUCUAUUGAUUUCUAUGAAUAUUCACAAAAUUCAUUUCCAUGCGAGAUGUAUUAUUUGUUCCCCCGCAUAACGUUUAUUUGGUGAACGAGCUUGUGAAAUCCGAUUGGAAAUAAUUCUGUGAAUGAUGAACAUUCAACUCAAAUAAACUGAAUUUUGUGGUUUUGAGUUUUCUGUAAAUUCCAAAAAAAUUAACAAGCGCAGUCACACUGUUCAAAAAUCCUUGUAACUAGAGAACCCAAGUAUUAAAUACCAAAAGAAGAGUAAAUAAAACUCGAAACUGAUAUACAUAUUUUUAAUAAGAGUUAAGAAAAUAACUAUUAAAAAUGAAAUAAUAGUUUUUCUACGUACAGUGUUGUAACAAAUAUUACAAAUAUCAAGAGAAAAGAGUGAUAUAUUUUUAUUUCCAAUCUUAUAAUAGUUUGGCUGCUUAUGGAUGCUAUGACAUGAAUGAAGAUAAAAUAAAUUAUUGGUAUUAUUACGUUCUUCGCCGAUUUUUUAUCUGAUAGCACACACCACGAGAUGGCGAUCCCUGCCGAUUGUACAGUGGUACAGUCAAUAAAAUCUAGAUUACGGGUAUCUCUAAUCAUUUCCGGAACCCCGGAACCUUCUUUGAUGGAGACGUCAUUGAAACUCCGAUCUCUCCGAUUGGUUAACAUCAGGGGGGGGGGGGGGCGUAACCACCAAUCAGUUUAUCAUAAGACUGUACCGAAUUUCGCUCUUUUGUUUUCCGGGACAAGAAUCGGAAGGUUUAUUCAGAGCCUAUUUAUUUUUUAUCUGGUUAAACUUGGAGGGUGCGUGAGAAAUAAAAAUUUAGAGAUCAAGCACAGACCCACCGAUAUAAAAAUUAUUAUCGGUAAGCACGUUGAGAAUCAUUUUAAAAACAAUUUGCUUCUUUGACAAUCGUUUGUUUUACUUCCUGAGAAAUGCUAGCUGGUACAUUCAACAAUGUAGUGUUAGGGGUCAUCGAUUUUUUUAUUCGUAUAAGAAUUCAUGUACACGUCAACUUGAAUAUAUAAUAAAUUUUUGAAUUUU
rnacentral:lncRNA from 1 species